UACGUAGGGGGCAAGCGUUGUCCGGAAUUAUUGGGCGUAAAGAGCGUGUAGGCGGUCCGGUAAGUCGGCUGUGAAAGUCCAGGGCUCAACCCUGGGAUGCCGGUCGAUACUGCCGGACUAGAGUUCGGAAGAGGCGAGUGGAAUUCCCGGUGUAGCGGUGAAAUGCGCAGAUAUCGUAAGGAAGACCAGUGGCGAAGGCGAGUCUCUGGACAGUUACCGACGCUGAGGCACGAAGGCCAGGGGAGCAAACGGG
rnacentral:rRNA from 1 species